GGCGAGUUAGCCAAGUGGUAAGGCGUGGGUCUGCAACACCCUGAUCACCAGUUCAAAUCUGGUACUCGCCU
rfam:Butyrivibrio sp. CAG:318 genomic scaffold, scf66